rnacentral:rRNA from 1 species
AACGAACGCUGGCGGCAUGCCUAACACAUGCAAGUCGAACGAUGCUUUCGGGCAUAGGGGCGCACGGGUGCGGAACGCGUGGGAAUCUGCCCUUGGGUUCGGAAUAACAGUGAGAAAUUGCUGCUAAUACCGGAUGAUGUCUUCGGACCAAAGAUGUAUCGCCCAGGGGUGAGCCCGCGUAGGCUUAGCUAGUUGGGGGUGUAAUGGCAUACCAAGGCGACGAUCCUUAGCUGGUGUGAUAGGAUGAUUAACCACACUUGGACUGAGACACGGCCCAGACUCCUACGGGAGGCAGGAGUGGGGAAUAUUGGACAAUGGGGGCAAGCGUGAUCAAGCAAUGCCGCGGGAGUGAUGAAGGCGUUAGGGUUGUAAAGCUCUUUUACCCGGGAUGAUAAUGACAGUACCGGGAGAAUAAGCACCGGCUAACUACGUG